GGUGGGCGGGGCUGGCGCGCUGUCUUCUGCCAGCGGGACCCUCGGGAUCUAAAGAACUGCGAGCGGCGUGGACCGCAGACAGAGCUCUCUCACUGAAUGAAGCUGAUGCUGUGGACUCUUCCCAAACCGAAAUGAGAGCUCAGUUUUAUUUGGCAAGCAAAGGAAAAUACUUCCUCAAGGCAUGAAGGCAGGCCAACCCAAAAGAAGUGCGGCUCAACUUUGGCUCCUCUCUUUCUGUUUUUCUCCUUCCCCUGAGCCUGCCCUAUGUAAAUUGGGCUAGCCUGGAGGCCUCUUUGCUUCACCUGAAGUUCUCACUCUGGUCCUUGGACCUUCCUUGUUCUACUUUCGUGGGCUUUUUCCUCUUUGUCUUCUAGCCACUGCUAUUUUGGACUCCUUUUUCCUAUUCUACGUACCUAACAUUCCCUGCUCAAGAGAGGGGAGGCCCAAUUCUUUGGCAGUAGGGGUGUUGAGGUCUCUCUGGCUUCUUACUGCUGAACUGGGACAGCGAGGGCGUUUGGGCCUCCCCCUCUUGCUAAUCUCAAGCCUCAGAGUCCUUAUGGCGGUGUUCAUCUACAGCUAAAGAAGAGUCUCAGAAAUGACACAACUGGAAGUCUAUUCCAGCAGAGGACUUCAGACUGAGGAUUUUCCAAGGUGCUCUAAAGCAGCUGGUCUCCAAACCAGCUGACCGAAGACCUUCGGAAUAAAUAGAGGACUUCAGAUAAGGGAUAGCUUCUGCCCAAGAUGUCAGACCAACGCCUGUGGUAAAGCCCUGUUUUGUCUACCAUGAUACUGUAAAUCAAUUUUAUUUCCAAAAAAAAAAGGAACCCAAAAAACCCCUAUUUUAUUUUUCAUCUGCUUGCCCAUAGUUACUCUUCUCAUUUCUAUUGAUCCCUAGUUGUUAUCCAUCCAUAAUGACCUUUUUCCUCUUUUCUUUCCUCUUUGUUAGGUCAGAGCAUACUCAUUUGAAUACCAUUUUUCAUGCUUAUAUCAUGCUCACACGCUCAGUCAUGUCUGACUCUUUGCAACUCCAUUGAUGGCUCCUCUGUCCAUAGGGUUCUCCAGGCAAGAAUACUAGAGUGGGGUGUCAUUUCCUCCUCCAGGGUAUCUUCCCCAUUCUUAGAUUAUCCUAAAUAAUUGCCACUGCUCGAAAUCUUACCGACUUCUGGGUAUGCCAUCCAUUGGCAGAUCACCAUGACAAAUAUAUUUGAACAGUUCUAGUCUCACCAAAUGACACAAUGGAGAAUUAAAGCCAGUGGCUUUUCCAUUAUCAUCUACAGGGACAAAUUAUCUUAAACAAAUCAACCUGUGACUUUGCUAAUGUCCCUCUCUCCCAGUCUUGAGGGGGACUAUAUCCUUAACCUGUGGCAUUUAACCCAACACUGGUAGUUGGAAUGAGAUUUUAUAAAUAAAAUUGCAAUAAAUUUUCAUGCACAAAUCCAACAAGCUACCCAUAAAACGCAGAACAAUACUAACCUAUACCUGAAUUUGAAAAAUAAUUACAGGAAGCAACAUUGUAUUUUUUUAAGAAAAUAUUUAAUUGGUAGUUUUCUAGAAGGAAAGAUUUUUAUCUAGUACGAAAAUUUGUAGUCAGAGUACCAAGAAAACAUGGGCAAUACAAGUUGUUUUUCAAGUUAACACAUGAUUAGUAAGCAUCUAUUGGGUGCUCAUUUCUGAGAGGAAGUAUGAGAAAUGACCUGAAGCAGCUGAUAAUCUGGUUCAGGAGACAAGAAAAUGGCAAGUAAUAAACAACCAAUGAUUUAAAUAGAUUAAGACACUGAUAAGAACUACUCCAAGUCGAGAUAUCUUUCACUCGCAAAUGUUAUGGAGGACUAACCUGGUAACACAGUGGAUAGGAAUCUGCCUGCCAGUACAGGGGACACAGGUUUGAUCCCUGGUGGGAGAAGAUUCCAGUUCAGUUGCUCAGCUGUGUCCAA